rnacentral:rRNA from 1 species
AGUGAACGCUGGCGGUAGGCCUAACACAUGCAAGUCGAACGGCAGCACAGUAAGAGCUUGCUCUUACGGGUGGCGAGUGGCGGACGGGUGAGGAAUACAUCGGAAUCUACUUUUUCGUGGGGGAUAACGUAGGGAAACUUACGCUAAUACCGCAUACGACCUACGGGUGAAAGCAGGGGAUCUUCGGACCUUGCGCGAUUGAAUGAGCCGAUGUCGGAUUAGCUAGUUGGCGGGGUAAAGGCCCACCAAGGCGACGAUCCGUAGCUGGUCUGAGAGGAGGAUCAGCGACACUGGAACUGAGACACGGUCCAGACUCCUACAGGAGGCAGCAGUGGGGAAUAUUGGACAAUGGGCGCAAGCCUGAUCCAGCCAUACCGCGUGGGUGAAGAAGGCCUUCGGGUUGUAAAGCCCUUUUGUUGGGAAAGAAAAGCAGCAGGUUAAUACCCCGCUGUUCUGACGGUACCCAAAGAAUAAGCACCGGCUAACUUCGUG